UGAAUACGAGACGCUAAGGCGUCGAAGUAGUGUAUGUCAUACUUCCAAGAAAAGCUUGCACUGUCAUAGAUAAAAAACGCCUGUACCAUAACCGACACAGGUGGGUAGGUAGAGUAUACUAAGGGGCGCGAGAUAACUCUCUCUAAGGAACUCGGCAAAAUAACUCCGUAACUUCGGGAGAAGGAGUGCCUUAUUCGUAAGGUUGCAAUAACAAGAUCCAAGCAACUGUUUAUCAAAAACACAGGUCUCCGCUAAGUCGUAAGACGAUGUAUGGGGGCUGACGCCUGCCCAGUGCCAGAAGGUUAAAGAAGUUGGUUAGCAUUUGCGAAGCUAGUGACUGAAGCCCUGGUGAACGGCGGCCGUAACUAUAACGGUCCUAAGGUAGCGAAAUUCCUUGUCGGGUAAGUUCCGACCCGCACGAAAGGCGUAAUGAUUUGGAUACUGUCUCGGAGAGGGGCUCGGUGAAAUAGACUUGUCUGUGAAGAUGCGGACUACCUGCACCAGGACAGAAAGACCCUAUGAAGCUUUACUGUAACUUGAAAUUGAAAUUGGACUUUAUUCGCGCAGUAUAGGUGGGAGGCGUUGAUUAUAAUCUUGCGGGAUUAUUGGAGCCAUCAGUGAGAUACCACUCUUGUAAUGUUAGAUUUCUAACUUUGAAUCAUUAUCUGGUCAAAGGACAGUUUCAGGCGGGCAGUUUGACUGGGGCGGUCGCCUCCCAAACGGUAACGGAGGCGUACAAAGGUUUCCUCUGAACGGUUAGAAAUCGUAUCUAGAGUGUAAAGGCAUAAGGAAGCUUGACUGUGAGACCUACAAGUCGAGCAGGGACGAAAGUCGGUCUUAGUGAUCUGACGGUACUGAGUGGAAAGGCCGUCACUCAACGGAUAAAAGUUACUCUAAGGAUAACAGGCUGAUCUCCCCCAAGAGUUCACAUCGACGGGGAGGUUUGGCACCUCGAUGUCGGCUCAUCGCAUCCUGGGGCGGUAGUACGUCCCAAGGGUUGGGCUGUUCGCCCAUGAAAGCGGUACGCGAGCUGGGUUCAGAACGUCGUGAGACAGUUCGGUCCAUAUCCGGUGUAGGCGUUAGAAUAUUGAGAGGAGCCUUCUUAGUACGAGAGGACCGAGAAGGACAUACCUCUGGUGUACCAGUUAUCGUGCCAACGGUAAACGCUGGGUAGCUAUGUAUGGAGUGGAUAACCGCUGAAAGCAUCUAAGUGGGAAGCCCACCUCAAGAUAAG
rnacentral:rRNA from 1 species